GAACCUGCGGAAGGAUCAUUACCGAGUGAGGGCCCUCUGGGUCCAACCUCCCACCCGUGUUUAUUUUACCUUGUUGCUUCGGCGGGCCCGCCUUAACUGGCCGCCGGGGGGCUUACGCCCCCGGGCCCGCGCCCGCCGAAGACACCCUCGAACUCUGUCUGAAGAUUGAAGUCUGAGUGAAAAUAUAAAUUAUUUAAAACUUUCAACAACGGAUCUCUUGGUUCCGGCAUCGAUGAAGAACGCAGCGAAAUGCGAUACGUAAUGUGAAUUGCAAAUUCAGUGAAUCAUCGAGUCUUUGAACGCACAUUGCGCCCCCUGGUAUUCCGGGGGGCAUGCCUGUCCGAGCGUCAUUGCUGCCCUCAAGCCCGGCUUGUGUGUUGGGCCCCGUCCCCCGAUCUCCGGGGGACGGGCCCGAAAGGCAGCGGCGGCACCGCGUCCGGUCCUCGAGCGUAUGGGGCUUUGUCACCCGCUCUGUAGGCCCGGCCGGCGCUUGCCGAUCAACCCAAAUUUUUAUCCGGGUUGACCUCGGAUCAGGUAGGGAUACCCGCUGAGCUUAAGCAUAUCA
rnacentral:rRNA from 1 species